rnacentral:rRNA from 1 species
AUUGAACGCUGGCGGCAGGCCUAACACAUGCAAGUCGAACGAGUGGCGGACGGGUGAGUAAUGUCUGGGAAACUGCCUGAUGGAGGGGGAUAACUACUGGAAACGGUAGCUAAUACCGCAUACCAUCACCUGAGCCCAGAUGGGAUGCGCUUGUUGGUGGGGUAACGGCUCACCAAGGCGACGAUCCCUAGCUGGUCUGAGCGGAUGACCUGCCACACUGUAACGGAGACACGGUCCAGACUCCUACGGGAGGCAGCAGGGGGGAAUAUUGCACAAUGGGCGCAAGCCUGAUGCAGCCAUGCCGCGUGUAUGAAGAAGGCCUUCGGGUUGUAAAGUACUUUAAGCGUGGGGGCGUUACCCGCAGAAGAAGCACCGGCUAACUCCGUGCCAGCAGCCGCGGUAAUAC